GUAGUAGCUGCAGGAGCAACAACCAACAAAACUACAACGAAUAAAGUAUGCAUUAUCCUAAAGUCUUUUUUUGGGCUACAAAAGUUAAUGUGAUAUUUUAAACAUUUUAAACAUUUUUUACAAGCUACGUGGAGGGAAUUUUCAGGCUUGCGUGAGUUGUAAAAGGAUCAAGGUCUAAGCAACAGCAAAUUUUAGUCAAAUAAAAUUGAUUAGCUAUUCUCUCCACAGCCUGCCAAAGCCAGUGUAGCCCGCCUUGCUGAGUAGAGUAUCAACAUGAGCGAAACACAAUAAACAACUUCAUCAAGCGGCUGCGGCUGCGGCUGCGGCGGCUGCAAAUUCUCGUUGUAUGGCUCAGAGCUGUGCAAAUAUUUUUGGGCAAUCCCGAAAGCGUAACGAAAAUAGAAAAAGCGCCCGAAAAAGUUGGGCGCAAGGCUGGAGCUUAAAUAAAUAGUGUUGUGCGGGUGGGGCAGGGGCAGCAAAUGGUGGCAGGCAUCACAAUGGUCGCUCGGCCACCUAAAAAGUAUGCAACACUUUCUCAAGUUGCUUUCGUCCUUGCCAGGCGCCUUUCCUCCACGCCUGAUCCUUUACAACUUUUGUUUCUUGUGCAUUUUCAUUAAAUAGUGUUGUUCGCCUCGCCCCCGUCCUUUGUUGCCUCCGUCGCUGUACUUUACUUUGCAUAUUUUAACUGCUUAUGGCUCGUUUCGACACGCCUUCGUCAUGCAACAAGGAAACACCCCGAAAAAAGGAGAGCGGCAUCAGAACAUUGUAAUAAAAAAUAAACUUUACACUUUGCUGCUUCACUCCCAAAC
rnacentral:lncRNA from 1 species